AGUCCUGCUACUCAGUAGGCAGAAACAAGUAGAAGUUUGUAGAGGCACGCUUACAUUUUGUGUGGUGUUUCUUUAUGCAGUAUGAUUAAGAUUAUCUAAUUGUGAUUGAUGAGUGUUUUGUUACUCCGGUCCAGGAGUCGUCUACUUUUCAUAGAUGUUCCUCCCCACACCCCGGGUUUUUUGGUGUUUUUUUUUUUUUUUGGUUGGGGGUUAGUUCAUUCAUUCUAUUCUGUUUCUCUCUCUCUCUCUUUCUCUCUCCCUCUCUCUCUCUCUUUCUCUCUCCCUCUCUCCCUCUCUCUCUCUCUGGGGCCACUUUGUACAACAAGAAGCUAGAUCAGAACAGUUAAACAGGAGGUUACCAUGUUAAUAAAAUCAAUCAGUCUUAGGGAUCUGAGUGUCUGAAUUUGAAGCCAGAAACUAGUUUAUGCUUAGUAAUGUACAUUGAGCUUUAGAUACAUUCUAUAUCUUUUACAUUCACAGCAUGCUUGCUGUUCCCUUUAGGAAGUAGUAUGAGAGUACAGGGAAAUUAAUAGUUUCCUAGGGCUUUUCUAACUUCUGGAGAGAAUCCAGGGAAUGGGGGCUGGAGUACAACAUUGGCUUGAUAGUAUAAUGUAUUCUUCCCCCUCCCCCGCCCCCCAACCCCUGUGUUUGUGUGGGAGAAUGUGCAUGUGAUGGUGGGUGUCCUCAGAGCUGCAUAGCCUGGUGCUUAUGAACCACCCAAAGUGGGUGUUGGCAACUGAACUGAGGUCCUUUGCAAGAAUAGCAUGUGUUUUUAACUACUGAACUAUGUCUCUAACCACUGGUGUAAUUUUUGUGUGUGUCGGGUUUGGGGGAUAGAGUCUCAUGUAGAUCUGGGUGUUUUGGAAAUAACUCUGUAAACCAAACUGGUCUCAGAAUGCAGAAGAUCCUCCUGCCUCUGCUUUCCCACCCCGGGGGCAGGUAUGCCACACUAUGCUUAGCUUUUAGCAGGCACAUCUUACCAUUCAGUCACUUGUUUUUUACCCUCCUGUUACUUUAAGGCAGUAACGUUUAAACUGCGGGGCUGCUGCACACUAUAAGAUUAAAAUCUUAAAGACUUUUGUUCUAUCAUUCAGCCUCGGGACUUUAACAUGUGAGGUUUUUAGUGUUCCCUUUUACUGAACUACAGGCAAAGGUUCUAGUCCAAUAAUUUUCUUUUGGGAUAAGGCCUUCUGUGUAAGAAGAAAUGCUGGUAUAAAUGGAGACUUUUAAUCAGAAUUUUAUGUUAAUUGUAACAAUUAUUUGUCGGGUGAUGGUAGAACUGUAUUGAAUCUGUUUAUGGAAUUUUUAAAUGUUCGCUGUUCUGCCUCCUCCCACCCCUACCCCCC
rnacentral:lncRNA from 1 species